UGGGGAAUCUUCCGCAAUGGACGAAAGUCUGACGGAGCAACGCCGCGUGAGUGAUGACGGUCUUCGGAUUGUAAAGCUCUGUUAAUCGGGACGAAUGGUUUGUGUGCAAAUAGUGCAUAGACAUGACGGUACCGGAAUAGAAAGCCACGGCUAACUACGUGCCAGCAGCCGCGGUAAUACGUAGGUGGCAAGCGUUGUCCGGAAUUAUUGGGCGUAAAGCGCGCGCAGGCGGACUAGCCAGUCAGUCUUAAAAGUUCGGGGCUUAACCCCGUGAUGGGAUUGAAACUACUAGUCUAGAGUAUCGGAGAGGAAAGUGGAAUUCCUAGUGUAGCGGUGAAAUGCGUAGAUAUUAGGAAGAACACCAGUGGCGGAGGCGACUUUCUGGACGAACACUGACGCUGAGGCGCGAAAGCCAGGGGAGCGAACAGG
rnacentral:rRNA from 1 species